rnacentral:rRNA from 1 species
UACGUAGGGUGCGAGCGUUAUCCGGAUUUACUGGGCGUAAAGGGCGCGUAGGCGGCCAGCACAAGUCAGUUGUGAAAUCUCCGGGCUUAACUCGGAAAGGUCAACUGAUACUGUGCGGCUAGAGUGCAGAAGGGGCAACUGGAAUUCUCGGUGUAGCGGUGAAAUGCGUAGAUAUCGAGAGGAGCACCUGCGGCGAAGGCGGGUUGCUGGGCUGACACUGACGCUGAUGCGCGAAAGCCAGGGGAGCGAACGGG